rnacentral:rRNA from 1 species
AUUGAACGCUGGCGGCAGGCUUAACACAUGCAAGUCGAGCGAGCGGCGGACGGGUGAGUAAUGUAUGGGAAACUGCCUGAUGGAGGGGGAUAACUACUGGAAACGGUAGCUAAUACCGCAUACCAUCGGAUGUGCCCAGAUGGGAUUAGCUAGUAGGUAAGGUAACGGCUGACCUAGGCGACGAUCCCUAGCUGGUCUGAGAGGAUGAUCAGCCACACUGGGACUGAGACACGGCCCAGACUCCUACGGGAGGCAGCAGUGGGGAAUAUUGCACAAUGGGCGCAAGCCUGAUGCAGCCAUGCCGCGUGUAUGAAGAAGGCCUUAGGGUUGUAAAGUACUUUCAGUGGGGAGGCGUUACCGACAGAAGAAGCACCGGCUAACUCCGUGCCAGCAGCCGCGGUAAUAC